rnacentral:misc_RNA from 1 species
UAAUAAGUGUUUUAUGGCACUUUUUAAAUCCAUAUCCACCUUGUGUGCAAUGUCAGUCGUUCUCUUCUAUGGGAACGACCAAACAUCAACCAACUCUUUAACUCUUUGUCUGAAAAAUAUUACGAAUAAAAUAAUUCAAAAUA